UUCUAGUGGCGGACGGGUGAGUAACGCGUGGGUAACCUGCCUUAUACAGGGGGAUAACAGUCAGAAAUGGCUGCUAAUACCGCAUAAGCGCACAGAGCUGCAUGGCUCAGUGUGAAAAACUCCGGUGGUAUAAGAUGGACCCGCGUUGGAUUAGCUAGUUGGUGGGGUAACGGCCCACCAAGGCGACGAUCCAUAGCCGGCCUGAGAGGGUGAACGGCCACAUUGGGACUGAGACACGGCCCAGACUCCUACGGGAGGCAGCAGUGGGGAAUAUUGCACAAUGGGGGAAACCCUGAUGCAGCGACGCCGCGUGAAGGAAGAAGUAUCUCGGUAUGUAAACUUCUAUCAGCAGGGAAGAUAGUGACGGUACCUGACUAAGAAGCCCCGGCUAACUACGUGCCAGCAGCCGCGGUAAUACGUAGGGGGCAAGCGUUAUCCGGAUUUACUGGGUGUAAAGGGAGCGUAGACGGUGUGGCAAGUCUGAUGUGAAAGGCAUGGGCUCAACCUGUGGACUGCAUUGGAAACUGUCAUACUUGAGUGCCGGAGGGGUAAGCGGAAUUCCUAGUGUAGCGGUGAAAUGCGUAGAUAUUAGGAGGAACA
rnacentral:rRNA from 1 species